UCUGACCUACGGGGCGCAGCAGUGGGGGAUAUUGCACAAUGGGGGAAACCCUGAUGCAGCGACGCCGCGUGUGGGAAGACGGUCCUCUGGAUUGUAAACCACUGUCCCCAGGGACGAAGAUGACGGUACCUGGGGAGGAAGCUCCGGCUAACUACGUGCCAGCAGCCGCGGUAAUACGUAGGGAGCGAGCGUUGUCCGGAAUUACUGGGUGUAAAGGGAGCGUAGGCGGGACUGCAAGUUGGGGGUCACAUCUACCGGCUCAACCGGUAGCCGCACUCAAGACUGCAGUUCUUGA
rnacentral:rRNA from 1 species